rnacentral:rRNA from 1 species
GACGAAGGGGGCUAGCGUUGUUCGGAAUUACUGGGCGUAAAGCGAGUGUAGGUGGUUGUCCAAGUUGGAUGUGAAAGCCUUGAGCUCAACUCAAGAAAUGCAUUCAGGACUGGGCGGCUAGAGGACCGGAGAGGAUAGUGGAAUUCCCAGUGUAGUGGUGAAAUACGUAGAGAUUGGGAAGAACACCAGUGGCGAAGGCGGCUAUCUGGACGGUUUCUGACACUAAGACUCGAAAGCGUGGGGAGCGAUCCGG